GUCGAACGAGCUUCCGUUGAAUGACGUGCUUGCACUGAUUUCAACAAUGAAGCGAGUGGCGAACUGGUGAGUAACACGUGGGGAAUCUGCCCAGAAGCAGGGGAUAACACUUGGAAACAGGUGCUAAUACCGUAUAACAACAAAAUCCGCAUGGAUUUUGUUUGAAAGGUGGCUUCGGCUAUCACUUCUGGAUGAUCCCGCGGCGUAUUAGUUAGUUGGUGAGGUAAAGGCCCACCAAGACGAUGAUACGUAGCCGACCUGAGAGGGUAAUCGGCCACAUUGGGACUGAGACACGGCCCAAACUCCUACGGGAGGCAGCAGUAGGGAAUCUUCCACAAUGGACGAAAGUCUGAUGGAGCAAUGCCGCGUGAGUGAAGAAGGGUUUCGGCUCGUAAAACUCUGUUGUUAAAGAAGAACACCUUUGAGAGUAACUGUUCAAGGGUUGACGGUAUUUAACCAGAAAGCCACGGCUAACUACGUGCCAGCAGCCGCGGUAAUACGUAGGUGGCAAGCGUUGUCCGGAUUUAUUGGGCGUAAAGCGAGCGCAGGCGGUUUUUUAAGUCUGAUGUGAAAGCCUUCGGCUUAACCGGAGAAGUGCAUCGGAAACUGGGAGACUUGAGUGCAGAAGAGGACAGUGGAACUCCAUGUGUAGCGGUGGAAUGCGUAGAUAUAUGGAAGAACACCAGUGGCGAAGGCGGCUGUCUAGUCUGUAACUGACGCUGAGGCUCGAAAGCAUGGGUAGCGAACAGGAUUAGAUACCCUGGUAGUCCAUGCCGU
rnacentral:rRNA from 2 species